CCUACGGGGGGCAGCAGUGGGGAAUAUUGCGCAAUGGGCGAAAGCCUGACGCAGCGACGCCGCGUGAGGGAUGAAGGUCUUCGGAUCGUAAACCUCUUUCAGCAGGGAAGAAGGGUCACUGGGCUAAUCAGCAGUCAAUUGACGGUACCUGCAAAGGAAGCACCGGCUAACUCCGUGCCAGCAGCCGCGGUAAUACGGAGGGUGCGAGCGUUAAUCGGAAUUACUGGGCGUAAAGCGCUCGUAGGCGGUAUGUCAAGUCAAGGGUGAAAUCCCCGGGCUAAACGUGGGAACUGCAUUUGAAACUGGCAGACUGGAGUGUGGGAGAGGCUGGUGGAAUUCCAGGUGUAGGGGUGAAAUCCGUAGAUAUCUGGAGGAACAUCAGUGGCGAAGGCGACUAUCUGGAACAUAACUGACGCUGAGGAGCGAAAGCGUGGGGAGCAAACAGGAUUAGAUACCCCUGUAGUC
rnacentral:rRNA from 1 species